GAUGAAGAACGCAGCGAAAUGCGAUACUUGGUGUGAAUUGCAGAAUCCCGUGAACCAUCGAGUCUUUGAACGCAAGUUGCGCCCGAAGCCAUUAGGCCGAGGGCACGCCUGCCUGGGCGUCACACGUCGUUGCCCCCCCAUCUACUCCUUCGGGAUUGCGGGGGGCGGAUGAUGGCCUCUCGUGCGCCUCGUCGCGCGGUUGGCCUAAAUGCUAAGUCCUCGGCGACGCACGCCACGACAAUCGGUGGUUGCGAAACCUCGGUUGCCUGUCGUGUGCGGUCGUCGCGCAUCGAGGGCUCGAAAAAAUUGCCGGGCUUCGGCUCGGCUUUCAACGCGACCCCAGGUCAGGCGGGGUUACCCGCUGAAUUUAAGCAUAUCAAUAAGCGGAGGA
rnacentral:misc_RNA from 1 species